GUAACAAAGGGAUCCUCCUGCACAGAACCUGGCCCAAUGUUGGAAGCUGCUUUACACGAGGAAUAGUGUAGACUGUCCCUUCACAGGAUCAGGAGGCUGACAAGGGGUAUGAGGAGGAGAGUCCUGGUAGUCAAACA